rnacentral:misc_RNA from 1 species
GAUGAAAGAACGCAGCGAAAUGCGAUAAGUAAUGUGAAUUGCAGAAUUCAGUGAAUCAUCGAGUCUUUGAACGCACAUUGCGCCCUCUGGUAUUCCGGAGGGCAUGCCUGUCCGAGCGUCAUUGCUGCCCUCAAGCACGGCUUGUGUGUUGGGCCCCGCCCCCCGAUCCCGGGGGGCGGGCCCGAAAGGCAGCGGCGGCACCGCGUCCGGUCCUCGAGCGUAUGGGGCUUUGUCACCCGCUCUGUAGGCCCGGCCGGCGCUUGCCGAUCAACCAAACUUUUUUCCAGGUUGACCUCGGAUCAGGUAGGGAUACCCGCUGAACUUAAGCAUAUCAAUAAGCGGAGGA